rnacentral:pre_miRNA from 1 species
AGAAGGAACAACCCCAGUGGCCGCGGCCAGCUCUGGAGCCCUGGAGUCAGCUCCGGCAGUAUUUACAGAGCUCUCUGUCUGCAGGGCCUGGAUGCUCCGGGGCGGG